UACAAUCGACACGGUGAUGGAACAAG
rnacentral:sRNA from 1 species